rnacentral:rRNA from 1 species
UUUUUAUAGUUAUAAUUAUAAAUAAAACCUGCUCAAUGAAAAUUUCAAUAGCCGCAGAACUUUAUACUGUGCUAAGGUAGCAUAAUCAUUUAUCUAUUAAUUAUAGAUUAGAAUGAAAGGUUAUACAUUUUAAAUACUAUUUUAAAACCAAAAAACAUAAAUUAUUUUAAAAAUAAAAAAAUUUUUAUACAAAAAAUAGACAAUAAGACCCUAUUGAACUUAACUAAAGUUUAACUGGGGCAGUUAUUAAUUUAAUAUAUAUAUAUAUAUAUAAAUAAAAUUCUAAUAAAAUUAAAAUUACAAGUUACCAUAGGGAUAACAGCGCAACAUUAUUUUAAAGCUCUUAUUAAAAAUAAUAACUACGACCUCGAUGUUGAAUAAAUAAAUCUAAAUUAAGAAACCUUAAUUAAAGAAAGUCUGUUCGACUUUUAAAAUUUUACA